GAAAUGCGAUACGUAGUGUGAAUUGCAGAAUUCAGUGAAUCAUCGAAUCUUUGAACGCACAUUGCGCCCUUUGGUAUUCCAAAGGGCAUGCCUGUUCGAGCGUCAUUUGUACCCUCAAGCUUUGCUUGGUGUUGGGCGUCUUUUGUCUCCAGUUCGCUGGAGACUCGCCUUAAAGUCAUUGGCAGCCGGCCUACUGGUUUCGGAACGCAGCACAAGUCGCGCUCUUUGCCAGCCAAGGUCAGCGUCCAGCAAGCCUUUUCUUCAACCUUUGACCUCGGAUCAGGUAGGGAUACCCGCUGAACUUAA
rnacentral:rRNA from 1 species